UGCAGUAGGGAAUCUUCCACAAUGGGCGCAAGCCUGAUGCAGCAACGCCGCGUGUGUGAUGAAGGCUUUCGGGUCGUAAAGCACUGUUGUAUGGGAAGAAGUGCUAGAAUUGGUAAUGAUUUCACUUUGACGGUACCCUACCAGAAAGGGACGGCUUAAUCCGUGCCAGCAGCCGCGGUAAUACG
rnacentral:rRNA from 1 species